CCUACGGGGUGCAGCAGUGCGGAAUCUUGGUCAAUGGGCGGAAGCCUGAACCAGCCAAGUCGCGUGAGGGAUUAAGGCCCUGCGGGUCGUAAACCUCUUUUGCCGGGGAGCAGUGGUCCGGACGCGUCCGGACCGGGAGAGUACCCGGAGACACAGCAUCGGCUAACUCCGUGCCAGCAGCCGCGGUAAUACGGAGGCUGCGAGCGUUAUCCGGAUUUAUUGGGUUUCAAGGGUGCGUAGGCGGGCAUUUAAGCCGGCGGUCACAUGUCGGGGCUCAACCCCGGCCUGCCGUCGGAACUGGGUGCCUUGAGUGGGUGAGAAGUAAGCGGAAGGCGUGGUGUAGCGGUGAAAGGCAUAGAUAUCACGCAGAACCCCGAUUGCGAAGGCAGCAUACCGGCGCCCUACUGACGCUGAGGCACGAAAGUGCGGGUAUCGAACAGGAUUAGAUACCCUAGUAGUC
rnacentral:rRNA from 1 species